GUGUAGCCGGCUUGGCGUGACCCUCGCCUGAUCCAGGUUGUGUCGCCAGGCUGGAGGGCAGUGGUGUCAUCUCGGCUCAUUACAACCUCCACCUCCCAGGUUCAAGCGAUUCUCCUGCCUCUGCCUCCAGAGUAGCUGGGAAUACAGUUGUUAGAGUUGGAAGCUUGGCAGUUGGCCUCCCUUCUUCCCAUGGAGGACGGGGGCUUAACAGCCUUUGAAGAGGACCAGAGAUGCCUUUCCCAGAGCCUCCCCUUGCCAGUGUCAGCAGAGGGCCCAGCUGCACAGACCACUGCUGAGCCCAGCAGGUCGUUUUCCUCAGCCCACAGACACCUGAGCAGAAGGAAUGGGCUUUCCAGACUCUGCCAGAGCAGGACAGCGCUCUCUGAAGACAGAUGGAGCUCCUAUUGUCUAUCAUCACUGGCUGCCCAGAAUAUUUGUACAAGUAAACUGCACUGCCCUGCUGCCCCUGAGCACACGGACCCGUCCGAACCGCGGGGCAGUGUGUCCUGCUGCUCCCUGCUGCGGGGACUGUCCUCAGGGUGGUCCUCACCUCUGCUUCCGGCCC
rnacentral:lncRNA from 1 species